UACGUAGGGGGCAAGCGUUGUCCGGAAUUAUUGGGCGUAAAGAGCGUGUAGGCGGCCAGAUAAGUCCGCUGUGAAAUCUCGAGGCUCAACUUCGAGCUGUCGGUGGAAACUAUCUGGCUAGAGUCCGGAAGAGGAGAAUGGAAUUCCUGGUGUAGCGGUGAAAUGCGCAGAUAUCAGGAAGAACACCCAUGGCGAAGGCAGCUCUCUGGGACGGUACUGACGCUGAGACGCGAAAGCGUGGGGAGCGAACAGG
rnacentral:rRNA from 1 species